GAGUUUGAACCUGGCUCAGGACGAACGCUGGCGGCGCGCCUAACACAUGCAAGUCGAACGGAGCUUAUAUUUCAGAAGUUUUCGGAUGGACGAGAGAUAAGCUUAGUGGCGGACGGGUGAGUAACACGUGAGCAACCUGCCUUUCAGAGGGGGAUAACAGUUGGAAACGACUGCUAAUACCGCAUAACGCUGCGAUGGGGCAUCCCGAUGCAGCCAAAGGAGCAAUCCGCUGGAAGAUGGGCUCGCGGCCGAUUAGCUAGUUGGUGGGGCAACGGCCCACCAAGGCGACGAUCGGUAGCCGGACUGAGAGGUUGAUCGGCCACAUUGGGACUGAGACACGGCCCAGACUCCUACGGGAGGCAGCAGUGGGGGAUAUUGCACAAUGGAGGAAACUCUGAUGCAGCGACGCCGCGUGAGGGAAGACGGUCUUCGGAUUGUAAACCUCUGUCUUUGGGGAAGAAAAUGACGGUACCCAAAGAGGAAGCUCCGGCUAACUACGUGCCAGCAGCCG
rnacentral:rRNA from 1 species